AGCUAGCUAGCUUUGCACUACGUGAGUUCGGGUACAGACGCGCGAAUUAAUUGAGGAGCACUGUGAAACAAUUGCAAUUCGGGUAGCAUACACUUGGAGAAACUCCACGAGCACUGCGCGUCCGAGCCGGGACUCGAACUCGGGUGGGCUGGCAACAACCUCAGCUGCCCAGCCAACAGGUCGACCCCCCUCCUCUUCGGAUGCUAAAUAUUGUAUAGGCGCAGAGGGAUUCAACGGUUAACAACUCUUUGUGCCCCGUAUUACUUUGUACUGAUUCAGGGGGGUAUCUUGUGUCACAGGAUCUGCUAUUAAAGAGGAUUUUAAUUUGGUUUUCCAGCCAGUGUGACUGGGUAAUUUGAAUUGGCAACGUCAAACGUCUGUUAUUCUCAGAUUUUAUGUUAUCUAAGAAACAAUGCUUACUUACGAUGUAUUCCUCUUAGUUGUUGGUCCACCAUGAUGCAAAAGGUUAAGGUCCCAACAAAAGUACUUUCUCGAUGCUAUGAUGCAACAGCUUGGCCUUCCAAAUGCUAUGAUGCAACAACUUAGACGAUGAAGUCAUUUUCUAUACCGAUCUGCUAAUAUGAUCAAAGGUGUAUGUAUGAUGCACCUAUGUACCUUGCCUGAUAAAAGCAAUGUAAAUAAGCUAUCGUAAAUUGAUCUUAUGCCUCUCUUAUAAUGCUAUGUAUUGACUGUAUCUAAAUAUUCUGAUGUGCAUAGUUUGAAUGCUCACUCUUUCCAUCUUUUCUCCUAUAGCUUGCUUUAUAAAACCAAUGUAUGCUAUUAUCAAGUGAUCUCAUUACUUCCUUUUAGUCUAUCAAGGUACCAUGUAAUGGGAUAUAAGUAUCUGUUAAGUUGAUUCUAAAUCAGUAACAUAUACACGGUUUGAAUACUCGGUUCGCUCUCGCUUUUUGCGCCAUGGGCGCGACAGGUAAUCUAGUCAAGAGA